GGGGUCGUGGUCUAGCUUGGUAUGAUGCCUGCUUUGGGAGCAGGAGAUCAGGAGUUCAAAUCUCCUCGACCCCA
rnacentral:tRNA from 4 species